AUUGAACGCUGGCGGCGGGCCUAACACAUGCAAGUCGAACGAGUGGCGGCCGUGUGAGUAAUGUCUGGGAAACUGCCCGAUGGAGGGGGAUAACUACUGGAAACGGUGGCUAAUACCGCAUACCAUCAGUUUUGCCCAGAUGUGAUUAGCUUGUAGGUGGUGUAACGGCUCACCUAGACGACUAUCCCUAGCUGUUCUGAGAGUGUGACCAGCCACAUUGGAACUGCGAAACGGCCCAGACCCCUACGGUAGGCAGCAGUGGGGAUUAUUGCAAAAUGGGCGAAAGCUUGACGCAGCCAGGCCGCGGGUAUGAAGAGGGCUGUCGUGUUGUAAACUACUUUCUUCGAGGAGGCGGUACUUGCAGAAGAAGGACCGGCUAACUCCGUGCCAGCAGCCGCGGUAAUAC
rnacentral:rRNA from 1 species